GAUGAACGCUGGCGGCGUGCCUAAAACAUGCAAGUCGACCGAAGGGACGAGAAGUUUGCUUCUCUGAUUUUAGCGGCGGAGGGGGGAGUAACACUUGGAUACCCUCCCUAUAAGACGGGGAAAACUUGGGAAACCCGGAGCUAAUACGGAAUGAUAUUUUGACCGGCUUGUUUCAAAAUUGAAAGAGGUCCUUGCUGUCACUAAUAGAUGGUUCCGCGCUGCAUUAGCUAGUUGGUAAGGUAACGGCUUACCAAGGCAACGAUGCAUAGCCGACCUGAGAGGGUGAUCGGCCACACUGGAACUGAGACACGGUCCAGACUCCUACGGGAGGCAGCAGUAGGGAAUCUUCCGCAAUGGGCGAAAGCCUGACGGAGCAACGCCGCGUGAGUGAUGAAGGUCUUCGGAUCGUAAAACUCUGUUAUUAGGGAAGAACAUAUGUGUAAGUAACUGUGCACAUCUUGACGGUACCUAAUCAGAAAGCCACGGCUAACUACGUG
rnacentral:rRNA from 1 species